GAAUCUUGGUUUUGUUUGGCCCUUUGUUCCCCUGGAAGGGGUGGUGUUUUAGUGCCACGUGCCGCCGACAGGGCGGGGCCACAGAGCCGCCACGCCUGUGACCAGGGCGCGUUCCCUGCAAAUACCCGGGGGAGCGGAUUGGCGAAGAGCAGCCGUGUGAGGUGUUCGGCUAGACCGUGACUAACCAGCCCCAGACGUGCGAGUGCCGCGUGCAAUGGAACAUACACCGUGGCCCAGCGGCUAGGGCACCAGAGGAGGAAUCAAGGAGCUGAGGAGGAGAGAAGCAACCCAGCAUGUAAGAAGCCUGAUGAAGCCGAGGAUCCUGCCUACCUGCCUGAACACAGAUGGUCCCACGGAACGAACAUUGCAAACGGCCCGGGAUCAGCACUUCGCCAGAUCUUCUAUUUCAAGCUGAAAGACUCCUGGUUCUGCAUGAAACAGAGAGCACAGGACAACAUCAGGGCUUCACUGGAAACCCUGCUGGCUUCUCUGAUGCUUUUUCUUUUUCCAAAACCCCUUGCUGGCUGAGGACAGCGGCUUUGUCCCUAAAACAAAGGAACUGAAAUCCAAUCCACCAGCUCAGUGGCUUGCCAAGGUGGAAGGGAACAGCAGGCGAGCUGUGCAAACGCACAGGGCUAAUUUGUGGGGCGUCGAUCUCCUUUCACUUGAGCCGGGCGGGGGGCACUUGUUACAGGCCUGUAUGCCGCACGUGUGGGUUUCCGAUCACUCCUUUGCCUCUGCACCUGUGGCUUGGUUCCCAUUUGGCAUUUGAGACUCAAAGCUACCAAAGCAAAGUUGGCAUCACUAGACCCGAUUUGCUGUCUGGUCACCCUAUUCUGUGCGGAUGAAAAGAGCCAGCCUGGCAGCCCUGGAGAACUUGGUCCUUUCUUUCUCUACAGAGCAGGUUCUUAGUUGACCCCAUACAAUCUGGGAGCAUUUUCCUGCUGCCUCAUCCACUCCUGGACCUCAGCCCAAAAUGCUGCUCUUAGAAGCAGGGACAGGCUCUGGCAGACAGAACUCCUCCUCCUCCUCCUCCCAGGGCCCCGUCCGCAACUGGGCUGAAAGCAACCUGGAAUCAGGCCUCAUGUGUCGGUGGGAAGCUCCUGCUGCAGC